rnacentral:piRNA from 1 species
CGCUCGCUCCUCUCCUACUUGG